GCCACGGCUAACUACGUGCCAGCAGCCGCGGUAAUACGUAGGUGGCAAGCGUUGUCCGGAUUUAUUGGGCGUAAAGGGAGCGCAGGCGGUGACUUAAGUCUGAUGUGAAAGCCCACGGCUCAACCGUGGAGGGUCAUUGGAAACUGGGUCACUUGAGUGUAGAAGAGGAAAGUGGAAUUCCAUGUGUAGCGGUGAAAUGCGUAGAUAUAUGGAGGAACACCAGUGGCGAAGGCGACUUUCUGGUCUACAACUGACGCUGAGGCUCGAAAGCGUGGGGAGCAAACAGGAUUAGAUACCCUGGUAGUCCACGCCGUAAACGAUGAGUGCUAAGUGUUGGAGGGUUUCCACCCUUCAGUGCUGGAGUUAACGCAAUAAGCACUCCGCCUGGGGAGUACGGUCGCA
rnacentral:rRNA from 1 species